rnacentral:rRNA from 1 species
GACGAACGCUGGCGGCGUGCUUAACACAUGCAAGUCGAGCGGUAAGGCCCUUUCGGGGGUACACGAGCGGCGAACGGGUGAGUAACACGUGGGUGACCUGCCCUCAGCUCUGGGAUAAGCCUGGGAAACCGGGUCUAAUACUGGAUAUGACUCCAUGACGCAUGUUGUGGGGUGGAAAGCCUUGUGCGGCUGAGGAUGGGCCCGCGGCCUAUCAGCUUGUUGGUGGGGUGANGGCCUACCAAGGCGACGACGGGUAGCCGGCCUGAGAGGGCGACCGGCCACACUGGGACUGAGACACGGCCCAGACUCCUACGGGAGGCAGCAGUGGGGAAUAUUGGACAAUGGGCGCAAGCCUGAUCCAGCGAUGCCGCGUGUGUGAAGAAGGCCU